CCGGCAGACCAUGGAAGUGGGGUGCAAAAGAAGUAGGUAGGUUAAACAGCGGGGGGACGGUUAACAAGGUGUGAUUCAGGACUGGGGUGAAGUCGUAACACGGUAGCCGUAGGGGAACCUGCGGCUGGAUCACCUCCUUAAUCGACGAC
rnacentral:rRNA from 1 species